UACGGCCACAUCACGUUGAAACAUUGGUUCCCGUAUCAUCAUCGAAGUUAAGCAAUAUCGAGCCUGUUUAGUACCUAGAUGUGUGCCCGCUUGCGAAUACCAGGUGUUGUAAG